CACACGACUCUCGGCAACGGAUAUCUCGGCUCUCGCAUCGAUGAAGAACGUAGCGAAAUGCGAUACCUGGUGUGAAUUGCAGAAUCCCGUGAACCAUCGAGUCUUUGAACGCAAGUUGCGCCCGAGGCCAUCCGGCCGAGGGCACACCUGCCUGGGCGUCACGC
rnacentral:rRNA from 2 species